GAGUAAUAUUUGAUACAGUUGUAAAUCCUCAAUUUUUUUUAUUCUGGAGUGUUGCACAAAUACUCACAAAUAUUUAUAGCAGAUUAUUCCUCAAUGAAGAAGAAGAAAAAAAAUCCCUCUGCAAUGUUCUUCUAUCCACAUUUCCCAAAUGUCGUGGAGGAUUUUUUCCACAUAGAAAAAUGGGGAAGUUGUGCAGAAAAAAAUGCUGUACAUAUGACAGUGAACUGCUCUUUCCUCUACUUUCCCAUCCACCGUGUGGACCUCACUCGCACUGCCUGGCCCUUGCUGUUGCUUCCUCUACUUCCCUGGAAUGGGUUGGACACCAGUCCUGAACAGAAUAGAAAAAUAUCAAUGUGAUUGGCUAGAAGCUGUGGAUAUCAUAUGCCAAGGGUCCCCAAACUAAGGCCCAUGGUCCUGAUGCAGUCCUCCAAGGUCAUUUACCCGGCCUCCAUCCUAAACUUUAGACUUAGGGUCAUCCGACGUCUGAACCAACUUGAAGGCACACUACAACAAUCCUAAUUAUCUCAACUCUCUCAUCAGCCAAUAGCAGGCCCACACUUUCCAUUGAAAUACUGUCCAGCCCCUCAACAAUCUGAGAUACAGUGAACCAGCCCCUUGUUUAAAAAGUUUGAGGACCCCUGGCAGAGGCAUCAAAAUCCUUGCCAGGAGACCACUUCAACACUUUGAUCCAGAUAAGAAGACAAAGGCUCUCCAUUCUGCUUGAUGGCAAAACUGCCUGUGGUGAGGUGACAGAUUAUUAUUAAAAAUUAAUGUCUUGGCUGACUGGCUGUUUCAGGGGGACUUUUGUCUUUCAAAAUAAGGUGUAGGACACACAUGUUAAAUAUUACAACUAAAUCUAUUAUAGUUAUUUGUUUGGCAUUUCUUUGACUCAUUUCCCAUUUUCUUUGGAAACAUUUUUUUGUUUCAAUGUUUCACCCAGAAUUAGAUGUUUCUUAAUUCUUUGUUGUUUCCAAGGAACGUUUGAUAUUUGUCUAGAUUUCCUCUCAGCCUGAGUUGCCUGCGGGCUGAGACGGACGGUAUAUAAAUAUAGUAAAUAAACAAACAAACAAAUAAAUAAAUUUAGUGAAAUUUUACAAUUGAUGCCUUGUGUUUUUUUU